rnacentral:rRNA from 1 species
UACGUAGGCAGCAAGCGUUGUUCGGAAUUACUGGGCGUAAAGGGCGCGCAGGCGGCUCUGAAAGUCAGAUGUGAAAGCCCCGGGCUUAACCUGGGAAUUGCAUUUGAUACUCUGGAGCUUGAGUACGGGAGAGGAGAGUGGAAUUCCCGAGUGUAGAGGUGAAAUUCGAUAGAUAUUGGGUGAAGAACACCGGUGGCGAAGGCGGCUCUCUGGACCGUAACUGACGCUGAGGCGCGGAAAGCGUGGGGAGCAAACAGG